rnacentral:lncRNA from 1 species
AUCUCAAAAAUUGCAGGGGAGCCAUCCAGAUUUCUGUCAGCCAUUCUAACCCUAAUAGCUAAGGCCGAGUUUUGUUGAGAGGAAGUGAUUUCACCACAGCUGCACACAGGGGGCAGGGAGGCGGCAUGUCUCGAAGGGUCCCAAGUGAACUGGUGAAAAAGCAAAAAGCAAAACAAACAAAAGGCUACCGGCUUUGACGGCAGGUGCAGCUGCUAAGGGCUGCCAGCCCCUGCCCCCACCUCUCUUCACAAGGAAGGUUUAGGACAGCAGCACCAUAGGUGGCCUCUGGGUUCUUACAGCCCUGGGGGGCUUUCAGUUAGCACCCUGUUGCCACGCCGCAGCCGCCCUGCCGCCGCUGCCACCACCACCACCGCCACCACCACCUUCUCCUUUUGAACAGAGAGCUCUUUUCCGUUUUCAACUUCCUUCUUCCCAGAUCAGUUGCUGAAUUCUCUGAUGCGACAACAGCUGCACAGGAUACAGUGGUCAACUGUAACAGGAGCAAUCCUGACAAACAAGUAAGGGGAGGCACUAGCGCUGGGGUUGCCAUUUCAAGCCUGAGUCAAGCAGGAGCUGGAGCCCAAGGUGAGUGGUGGUUGUUGCCACUAGGCCACCUGCACUAUAGGACACAAGCUGCUGGACAGGAUCGGCUACAUAAUUUGCAGAUCCAUUGCCAAACGAAAACAUGGGGCCCCUUGUUCAAAAAUUAUUAAGAAUUUCAAGAUAGCAACAGAGAACUAAACCAAGCGCAGGGCCCUUCAGUGUGAGGCCCUGUGCCACUGCACAGGCUAUGUGCCCGAGAGGCCCACCCUACUGCUGAGCAUGGAGAGUCACACAAGACCUGUGGAGCCCUACUGUCCCUGCAACGUGGCGGAGGAGGACAACUGUCUUCCCAGUGACCUGACUCCAGAGGAACGGCAAGAAUUGGAGAACAUCCCCGGAAGAAAGCAGGAGCUGCAGGCUGAAGUAUAGAGACCGAAGGCUGAGAUAGAAGAAUAGCUAACGAAAUUGAGAACUGGGAUCCACAGAAGAAAGCAACAUAUGUGGAGCAAUAAAGAGGUGGCCUGAUGCAGGUUCUAAAAAGGGGAUCCCGUUCUUAACAGAAUGGUUGAUUGAAGAACACUUGCGAAGACAUGUCCCAGUUCUUGUAGAAAGGUGAAGGACUCGGUCAAACAGCCACUAGGGACUCCCUGCGGGAGAGAGGAAUUUAUUAUCUAGGUUCUUCCUGCUUUUGUGGAGGUGCAUGAAUUCACUGAUCUAACCUUUACCCAGCCAGUUCAGUAAUUCCUGUGGAGCUUCUGAACGCCGAGGCGGCGCCGAAGACUGAUGGGAUGAUGGAGGCACUUGCCCAGUGACACCGUCAGUGUAAUAAAGGAGGGCUUUAGUGCAGACUCUGACGUUCUCUCCUUUGCCACAUCUUGUUGAACACCAGCCCUACCCCCAAAGUCAGACAAGCCCACAGCAGAAAGGUUCACUGCCACUAAUAGAGGCAUCAGUGAUGGAGGAGCAACUCUAGAAUCUGUCAUUUCCCACAGCCACAUUAACAGCGCUAGCCUCUCGCUUGCUUUCCCCUAUUCCC